UACAGAGGUCUCAAGCGUUGUUCGGAUUCAUCGGGCGUAAAGGGCGCGUAGGCGGUCCGACAAGUCAAAGGUGAAAUCCCUCGGCUCAACUGAGGAACUGCCUUUGAAACUGUCGGACUUGAGUCCGGGAGAGGGUAGUGGAAUUCCCAAUGUAGCGGUGAAAAUGCGUAGAUAUUGGGGAGGAACACCAGUGGCGAAGGCGGCUACCUGGGCCGGUACUGACGCUGAGGUGCGAAAAGCGUGGGGGAGCAAACAGG
rnacentral:rRNA from 1 species